GAUGAACGCUGGCGGCGUGCCUAAUACAUGCAAGUCGAGCGAACAGAUGAGGAGCUUGCUCCUCUGACGUUAGCGGCGGACGGGUGAGUAACACGUGGAUAACCUACCUAUAAGACUGGGAUAACUUCGGGAAACCGGAGCUAAUACCGGAUAAUAUAUUGAACCGCAUGGUUCAAUAGUGAAAGACGGUUUUGCUGUCACUUAUAGAUGGAUCCGCGCCGCAUUAGCUAGUUGGUAAGGUAACGGCUUACCAAGGCAACGAGGCGUAGCCGACCUGAGAGGGACGUCGGCCAGCCUGGAACAGAGACACGGCCCAGACUCCGACGGGGGGAAGCAGUAGAGAAUCUUCCGCGAUGGGCGAAAGCCUGACGGAGCAACGCCGCGUGAGGGAUGAAGGUCUUCGGAUGGUAAAGCUCUGUUAUUAGGGAAGAAGAAAUGUGUAAGUAACUAUGAACAUAUUGACGGUACCUGAUCAGAAAGCCCCGGCUAACUACGUG
rnacentral:rRNA from 1 species